AAGGGCUCCAGCUGUCACUCUAGAAGAUGCCUUUUUGUACAUUCGUCUGGAAAGGAUUUGUUCCCAUGGAGGUUUCUAUACCUUACAGAUAUUAAAUGCUGCUUGGGAUGGGUGGGCUGGGACUUGGAAAUCCUUUCAUCCCUUUAAGAUUUAUUUGGAAUUGGGGUACCCUUUGAUAGAGUUUGACCGUUACUGACUUCUCCAAACACCUCUGGUUAACAGUCAUAGUCCUGCCCAAGAAAUGUGGAUGCUGUGUCUUCUAUGGGAGGUAGUUUAGGAGACAGGAAGGCAUAACGGCUUAGCAGUGCUACCCAAAGUAUAGCUUGCUGACUAAUGCCGCUCUACAACUGUUUGUUACUGGUUCCCAAGGAGAUAAGAAGCUUACACCAGAAUGUAAACCAGCUCCAAAAAAGCACACUAUUUAGCUCAGUUGAUAUUUUUUCAUAGCAAGACUUUCUUAAUGAAGGAAGCAGUGCAUAGAUUUACAAUCUGGUGUAAUCUCCUUAUCAUCUCACAGACCAGUAUAAAAAAGUUUCAAGUCUAGCUACUUUAUGCAAGGCUGGUUUAGAGCAUGAUUCUGGAGCCAAACUGCCUGGGUUCAAAUCCUACUUCUGCCACUUAUUAAUGGGGUGACUUGGGGUAAGUUAUCUAACUUCUUUUUUUUUUUUUUUUGAGAUGGAGUCUCACUCUGUCGCCAGGCUGGAGUGCAGUCAGCUCACUGCAACCUCCACCUCCCGGGUUCAAGAGAUUCUCCUGCCUCAGACUCCUGAGUAGCUGGGACUACAGAUAUUUAGAAAUUAUUACAGGAACUUUUUCUGGACAGACAAGAACCUAAGUCUGAACAUCUAAAAGGCUCACAAAGAAUCAAGCAAAUUUAUUGAAAGAGACCAAUACUUAUUAGACCUAUCUUCGUGAACUGAAGAUCGAGAAAAAAAUUCCAAGAGGCAUUUGGACAGAAAAGCAUGUUGACUCCACAGGAACAAAAAUCAAACUGCAUUCAAAAUUCUCCUCUGCAAUGUCUAAUAGCAGGAGAAAUAAAAUAGUACCAACAGAGCUUCAAGGGAAAAAGACUGCAUUCUAAGAAUCCUAUAUUUAGGAAGUUGUUCAAGUGAAAGGGUAAUGGAAGAAAUGUUCUUAGAUGUGCAACUCACUGUUAUAACCUUUUAAACAAAGCCCUCGAAGACCUGAUUUAACUGACAGUGAAUGAAUCUAAAUACAGAGCUGUGGGAUGUGAGAGUCACAUCAGUGACCACUGAAACAAGUAUAAAGAAAAUUAAGUCUAGAUGAUUGUUUUACAUAUAAUUAUAAAACAGAAUAAAAGUGUAAAACGCAACUCUUGGAAGAGGAUAUUUAUAGUAUAAAAAUGGCCUAAUUAUAAUAAUUUGAACCUAAUGUUUUGCCGCACAAAAAUAGAAAUGAAGGAGAUAGAAUGGUAGGAGAAAACACUUAUUUCCUCAUUAUUCCCAAGAGGGAUAUUAUUUAACUCUUGAUAAAGAUAACUGGAAAUACAAACAGGAUGUAUCCUUUCUAAAUUACUAAAAAAAAAAAAAAACAAAAAAAACAAAGAAAAUAAAUUCCAUGUAACAAUCAUACUUUAUGUAACACACUGAAGUUUUUGGUCUUUAAUCUUCUUAUCUCCAGAGAUUGCUGUGACUCCUCGUCCACUCUGUAUCAUAGCAUCACCUCCAGUAUCAUUAAUGCAAGGCACCCCAUUUCUGACCACAGCUUCCUUCUUUUCCUUCUUGGCUUUAUUUUUAUUUCUUUAUUUAUUUUUGAGACGGAGCCUCGCUCUGUUGGCCCAGGUUAGAGUGCAGUGCCAUGAUCUCAGCUCACUGAAACCUCCACCUCUCAGGUUCAAGCAAUUCUCCAGCCUCAGCCUCCUGAAUAGCUAGGAUUACAGGCACCUGCCACCAUGCCUGGCUAAUUUUAGUAUUUUUAGUAGAGACAGGGUUUUGCCACGUUGGCCAGGUUGGUCUUGAACUCCUGACCUCAGAUGACCUGCCUGCCUUAGCCUCCCAAAGUGCUGGGAUUACAGACAUGAGCCACUGAGCCUGGCCACGUUCUUGGCUUUUUAAUUGCAACCAUUGAAAUAGAUCUUGAUUUCACUGUGACCUCUAGCUUCUUUAUCUUCAAUUUGCCCCAUCCUUCAGCCGUCCCCUUUCUUUAGUUUUCUACCUGUCCAGGUUAGAUUUCAGGGUCCAUUGUUUCAGCGAUAGUACUGCCAAAAUCCUAAACUCCCUCGCCCCUUUGGGCUUUUGUCAGACCCCAUCUGGCCGAAGACCAUUCCCAGAGCAACCCACACUGUGUGCUGUCUCUCUUCUUGUAUUUAAGCAGCUGGAGAAAAACACAACAGAGCAGAUUGUACCAUCAUAUAUUCAUGAGCAUCCAUUCUGAAUGGGCACCACAGUGCCAGAAUCCUUCAGAUAUCUCUGGUCAAUCUAUAGUCCAGCAAUCCACAAUGACCAUUCCAGAUCUUCUCUAGCUUCCUUAAAUGCCCAACUUUCCUACCCAUCAACGGAUGCCUUUAUUUCAUAUUUCACAGAGAUAAUAGACACUGUCACAUAAGGCCACUCCCCCCACUCCACACCCCCAAAUCCUGCUACCAAACUCACUAACAUAACAGCAUCUGUACCCAUCUGGUCCUCCUUCCUGCCUAUUCCAUAGAGGAGCUGUUUUUCUUUCUGAAAGAGAUCAAUUCCUCACAUGUGCUUUAGACCCCAUCUCCUUUCUCCUUCGCAGGAAUCUUAUAAUUUAGGUGGUUCUGUAUCUCCUGAAUAUCCAAUCUCUUUUCAACCUCAUCAAUUGCUUCAAAUUGUAAACAUUAAGCAAAUUAUAUUCAGCUUUCAAAAAAAAAGGGAGGAAAUCCUGUCAUUUGGGACAACAUGGAUGAAACUAGAGGACGUUAUGGAAAAUGAAAUAAAGCAGACAUGGAAAGAAAAAUACUACAUGAUCUGACUUACAUGUGGAGUGUGAAAAAGAACUCAGAAGCAGGAAGUAGAAUGGUGGUUACCAGGGGUCUUAAGGGGUUGGAGGGUUGGGAAGAUGUUGGUCAAAGGACACAACAUUUCAGGAGGAAUAAGUUCAAGAGAGCUAUUGUUUCACACGGGAACUAUGGUUAAUAACAAUGUAUUGCAUUCUUGGAAAUUGCCAAGAGAGUAGAUUUUAAGCGUUCUCACAACAAAAAUGAUUAGUAUGUGAGGUAAUGCAUAUGUUACUCAGCUUAAUGUAGCCAUUCCACAGUAUGUACAAGUUUCAAAGCAACAUGUUGUAUAUAAUAAAUACAUAUAACUUUGGCAAUCAAAUCAAAUAAAUAAAAGAAAAUAAAAAUAAAUGGAGAGAUAUUAUAAAAAUUCUACUGCAUUAAUAGUCACUAAUUCCAGUGCUUUGUAUUCCUUUGUGGAAAGGUUUUCCAAUCGUGUGGCACUAUUGACUUUUUUUUUUUUUUUGGUGACGGAGUCUCGCUCUGUCACUCAGGCUGGAGUGCCGUAGCAUGAUCUCAGCUCAUUGCCAUCUCUGCCUCCCCGGGUUCAAGCCAUUCUCCUGUGUCAGCCUCCUGAG
rnacentral:lncRNA from 10 species